UGGUGCCUUAAUUUGAUGAGAGGGAGGGCCAAGGAGAAGGUAGACCUCAAGGCCUGAAGUCAUCAGAGUGCAGCGUCUCUAGGCCAGAUCUUAUACCUAGAAGACAGUAAAAAAAUCGGAACUUGCAAUGGGAAUGUGUGAGCAGGGCAGGAAUCCCCCCAAAUCUGAAGCCAAAGGAAAGCGUUCUGUGAAACUAAACCCUGGUAGGAAAAGUGUCUCAAGGAAGACAAAGCACAGGGCCAAGGAAGACUGUGGGAGACAGCGACCUGCUGAGGAACCAGAGCUGCAGAAUCACUGGGACUCACAGGUGAGCCCGCUGGGUGCUAUGAGAACUGUGGGGGGUACAGUUGGCUCACGUUAGGACUUGAGGGGGGAGAUUCUCUUCGAUGAAGACAAGGUAGAUGGGAAUGGAGAUGGAGAGAAACACCAGGAAAAUGAGUUUUAGGCAAAACCAGAUCACACUCAAAAUCCGGUCUCAGACACCACCUCCCAGAGG